UUUACCAAGUUAAUUGAUUGAAAUUAAGGGCCAAACACAAAACUUGAGGGACCAAUUUUGAAGCCCGAAAAACUAUUUUGCCUAUAAAUAGCCUUCAUUUUCAGCUAAGUAAAGGGGGGUAAUUUUGACAACAAAAAAAAGAAGAAAAAAACCUAACCCUAAAAAACUUAAUCUUCUUCUUCUUGCAGCCGCCCCCCCACCCCCCUUUUUAAUUUCCGGUUGCUUCCUCCUCUCCACACAGCCACGGCAGCAUCAUCUUCACCCUUUCCUCCACGCCAUUUCACCAUUUUUCCUUCCCCUCUCCACAGCUGCUCCCCACUCCAUUUUCCUCCACACAAGCCGCUGCUCCCCUCUCACAAGUUUUUCCUUCGGUUUCUCCUUCCCUUCAGCCUCCUCCCCCACACACGGCCAAGCUGACCAUUACAGCUCAAACAACCCGUCUUCUCCUCCAAAAACAGACCGGCCGACCCUUUGCCUUCAGUUUCUUCUUUUUCCAGCAGUGACGGCGCCUCCCCGUGCAGCAGCACCGUCUCCCUCCAGCAGAGCUCGUCACAGCGGCGUCAUCUCCAGCUCCUCCCCCCAGCGGUAGCAGCAGCAGCAGCAGCAGUAGCGCCCACAGGCGCGGAGCAGUCCGCCUUCUCCCUCCGGUGGCGCCUGCAGAUUCAGCCUCUUCUCCUCCAGCGAGCACCACAACAGCAGCAGCUCCUCACCCACGACGCUGGGUCAUCCACGGCGGAUCUGCCACCGAAAAAAGAAGAAGGCGACCGAUCUGCAGAGGGGGCAGAGAAACGGGACAGAUUUGAAAAAAACGGGAAGAACCCGAGAACAGAUUUUAAAAAAGAGCAUAACAGAAAAAAUAAAGAACUAAAACCGAUUGCUUUGUGUGUUUUUCUUGCUGUUGCAGGUGACGGUGACUCUCACCGCCGGUGGAGGAAGACAGGGAAGAAGAAGGCUUUCCCGAUCCACUGAUUUCUGGUCUCCAUCAGCGGCGGCGCGUGAGCCCACGCGCCGCCAGUGACGGUGGCGCGUUGGAACACGCGCCGCCAGCCGUUCCUGCCUCCAAUUCCUGUGCAGAAGGGUUCCCUUGCAAUUUCUGGAGUUUUGAGGACUGUUUUGUAAAUCUGGAUUAUUUGAUGUAGUUUUUGAUUUAUUUUUGAAUAUUAUAAUUUGUAUUGGGGAUGUAAAAAAAAAAAAGAAAAAAAAAGAAAAAAGAAGAAACAAAAAAGAAGAAAAAAAAACAAAAGAAGAAAAAACAUAAUAAAAAAUGUGUGUUUGUGCUUGUUUUUUUAUUAUGUUAUAAAAAAAUAAAAAAGGCAGGAAAGAAAACAAAAAAACAAAAAAAUGCAUGUUUAUGUUUAUUUCAGGGAUCCUUUUAUAAUGAGACGGCAAAAGAAUAAAGAAGGAUUUAAUAUUUUGAUCG